GAUCCUGGCUCAGAACGACGCUGGCGGCGCGCCUAAUACAUGCAAGUCGAGCGAGAAAGUGUAGCAAUACACUUGUAAAGCGGCGAACGGGUGAGGAAUACAUGGGUAAUCUACCAUCGAGUGGGGAAUAACCAGCCGAAAGGUUGGCUAAUACCGCGUACGCCUCCGAAUCUUCGGGUUCGGAGGGAAAGCCACACUGUGAGUGUGGCGCUCUUUGAUGAGCUCAUGUCCUAUCAGCUUGUUGGUAGGGUAACGGCCUACCAAGGCUUUGACGGGUAGCUGGUCUGAGAGGACGAUCAGCCACACUGGCACUGCGACACGGGCCAGACUCCUACGGGAGGCAGCAGUAAGGAAUAUUCGGCAAUGGGGGCAACCCUGACCGAGCAACGCCGCGUGGAGGAUGACGGUUUUCGGAUUGUAAACUCCUUUUCUCAGGGAAGAGCGAGGACGGUACCUGGGGAAUAAGUCACGGCUAACUACGUGCCAGCAGCCGCGGUAAUACGUAGGUGGC
rnacentral:rRNA from 1 species